ensembl:lncRNA
AUGCCACUGAGUCUGUUGAGAGAGAGAGGAACAGAGAGAGAGAGAGAGGAACAGAGAGAGAGAGAGGAACAGAGAGAGAGAGAGGAACAGAGAGAGAGAGGAACAGAGAGAGAGAGGAACAGAGAGAGAGAGAGAAGAGAGAGAGAGGAACAGAGAGAGAGAGGAACAGAGAGAGAGGAACAGAGAGAGAGAGAUGAGAGAGAGAGGAACAGAGAGAGAGAGAUGAGAGAGAGAGGAAUAGAGAGAGAGAGAGGAACAGAGAGAGAGAGGAACAGAGAGAGAGAGGAGAGAGAGAGGAACAGAGAGAGAGAGAAGAGAAAGAGAGAGAAGAGAGAGAGGAACAGAGAGAGAGGAACAGAGAGAGAGAGAAGAGAGAGAGAGGAACAGAGAGAGAGAGGAACAGAGAGAGAGAGGAACAGAGAGAGAGAAGAGAGAGAGAGGCACAGAGAGAGAGAGGAACAGAGAGAGAGAGGAACAGAGAGAGAGAGGAACAGAGAGAGAGAAGAGAGAGAGAGGAACAGAGAGAGAGGAACAGAGAGAGGCACAGAGAGAGAGGAACAGAGAGAGAGGAACAGAGAGAGAGAGAGAAACAGAGAGAGAGAGGAACAGCGCAACAGAGAGAGAGAGAAGAGAGAGAGGAACAGCGAGAGAGGAACAGAGAGAGAGAAGAGAGAGAGAGGAACAGAGAGAGAGGAACAGAGAGAGAGGAACAGCGAGAGAGGAACAGAGAGAGAGAGGAACAGAGAGAGAGUCAGAGAGAGAGGAACAGAGAGAGAGGAACAGAUAGAGAGAGGAACAGAGAGAGAGGAACAGAUAGAGAGAGGAACAGAGAGAGAGGAACAGAGAGAGAGCGUCAGAGAGAGAGCGUCAGAGAGAGAGGAACAGAGAGAGAGGGACAGAGAGAGAGGAGCAGAGAGAGAGAGAGAGGAACAGAGAGAGGAACCGAGAAAGGAACCGAGAGAGGAACAGAGAGAGAGAGUCAGAGAGAGAGGAACAGAGAGAGAGUCAGAUAGAGAGGUACAGAGAGAGAGGAACAGAGAGAGGUACAGAGAGAGAAGAGAGAGAGGAACAGAGAGAGAGAGGAACAGAGAGAGAGUGGAACAGAGAGAGAGGAACAGAGAGAGAGGUACAGAGAGAGAGAACAGAGAGAGAGAGUCAGAGAGAGAGGAACAGAGAGAGAGAGUCAGAGAGAGAGAGUCAGAGAGAGAGAGAGAGAGAGAGAGAAGCAGACAACCUAAGAAAUUAACAACAAUGACAAAUGGUUUGAUGAAGAAUGGGACAAAUGUACCCACUGUAGUCAGCAGAUAUUUAGGACACCUCGUGAGCUGUCCUAACCAGUUAACAGUUACCAGCAGGUGUCUUGAUAAUAGAAAAAAAAUGCACCGAGUCAGUGGUUCCUGCGCCCCAUGCUAUUGCUUUGGAGUCGUUAAAAACACUGUUUUGAUAUUUCUGUUGUAA